rnacentral:misc_RNA from 1 species
UAACUGCGUGCAGACGUGUGAACUGCAGGACACAUGAACACCGACGUUUCGAACGCAAAUGGCGGUCUAAAGUAAAUUUUAGACCACGUCUGGCUGAGGGUCGGAUUUGAAAUAAAAACCAAAGUUAUACUCAAACUAAUGGCUUUAAUAAAAUGUUCUUUUUCGUUAUUGAAAAAGAAAAUGAGCCUGUUUGGUAAGUUUCAUCGCUGGGUUUUACAGCCCGGUUAGAACUGUUGGCAUGUUUUUAUAUGGAAGCUCUACUUUAAUAAAGUAGUAGCUUAGCUAAUUUGAAAAUAAAACAUAUAGAAUUAGUGAAAACAUAUCAUGUCUCUCAUGUUGUUGUUAAACUACAACAACAAAUCAAACAUACGACCUCAGAUUAGGCGAGAUUACCCGCUAA